AUAAUCUGCAAGCUGUUAUUGCAUGCUGUGAAGCAUAUUACUAAUUGCCCAUUACCCAUUCCAGCUCUUGACUAUCAAUGAACACUCGAGACAAAAAGAAUCGGAUCGUCAAAAUACAGAAGAAUGUACUGCUUUCUCAUCUAUCUGGACGAGGGGUGUAUGGCACUACCUAAAAGAAAAACAUGAAGCAGCCUCGUGGACUUCUCUGGAUGGCUUGAUAAGAAACCAUCACCCUGUAACAAUAGCGACUGAUAAGCUGGACAACAGGAAAAGAAGAUAAUGGUAUGUACUAAAUCUUCUUCCUAUUACAUGGUCCUUAGUUGCUCUUGUUUAGCUUAGCUAUAGUGCUGUAUAUAUGUAUGUGUAUAAAUGUUAACAACCAAAGCUUUCGUCUAGCUAAUGAAUGUUGUAGCAUAAAAGGAGGAGCAUGCCAAAUUUGUAAUGAUCUUCUGGUUCCCAGGUGAUGUGUUGCUGGUAAUUGUUUUUCUACUUUUAUAUUUGUUUUCUGCAGUAAUUAGUUGCAGAGGAUACCUAUUUCGAAGUUGUCUGGACUUUCAAAUUGCAUGUUGUUAUUUCUCAGUCUCAUCAUAUGUUUUCUUAGUCUUUAUAAAGAGCAUUUUGCAAUAGUGGCUCAAUGCUUUGAAAUGUUUUAAGGUUUUUGGAUUUUCACAGGCAUAUCUUCCUCAGACAGAAUGUUCUAUGCUUUGCUACAGAAUAAGACGUGUAGUGAGAGAGGCCCAUUCUGCAGCUCUCUAAUCGUAACUAUAAAACAGUAGAAGAAUCAAAUCCCUCCAAAAAUUCCUUCUAAGAGAGUUGCCAGAACUUAUUUGACGGUGAAAUUUAUAUAGAGUUCUAUAUAUGUUUUGAGAUUGCAACCAACCUUUAGCCAAUAGCUAUUCUGAAUUAGAGGCAGUGUUGAGAUGAAAACGGCGAUUCAGUUCUUAGGAUGCAUCAGUGUAAAUACAUAUGAAAGUAAUUUAUACAUUGAUGCAUCUAAAAAUAAAUAAAAAUGGAUAGCGAUUCCCAUCUAGAGAUCAUGGCAGUAAUCUGGAAGAAUAGAAAAGCCUGAUAAAUACAUACAAUUAAGACUACAGAAAUUAAUGGACUUCAUUCUUAUUUAUGCAAUAUCCCCAUCGAACCUUUAUAUUUAUCACAAGAGAGUACUUUACUAGGUGGACCCACAAUUACCAAAUUAUCUAAGUCAUCACUAUUACAAUAUCCAAAAAAAGCCAGGAUCACAUCCAUAUGCAAAGCCACCUUCAAACCCCUUGCAAUAUCCUUCAAUAAGUGUUAUUAACAUUAUGCAAGUAGUGAUCAAGAAUAAUAUACAUCAAAUUGAUGAACCACAUCUUCAAUAUUAUCAUCAAUCAGAAAAGAUCUAGUCAUAUUUGACAACAUCAAUGAACAAAAAAAAUUCUUAUCCACGUCAAAAUAAUUUCUCCUUCUCCAUGUAUGCCUAGGGUCGAGUAGAAGAUUUUCUAUAGAUGGGAAAAUCCCCAUGCUAAUAUCCCCAUCCAUGUCUUGUGUGAGAUCCCAAAUUCUUAACACCUAGUGACAAAGCUUUGGAUUUUUAUUUCCGUCUAUACAUACACCAUAAAUUAAUCGUCUCUCUUUUCUCCCAACCCCAAAUUUAAAGCCUUUUGUGGACGCCAUAUGCCAUAGCACCACAAACCAUAAAUAACAUAUAAUGCCACCAACCCUACCUAUAACCAAAAUACAUAACAUCCAUCAUUGCUUUUACUUGAAUGAAUGAGAAUGUUCAUCAUCUCAUCCCAUAAAUUGUCCCUUUAUAGAAAUAAUAUCAUUACCUUACCUAUCACAUGCUACCUAUCCUACCCAUUAUUGGGUGAUUAAACAUUUAUAUCCUCAUGAAUAAGUCUCAAGGCCUCCAUUGAAUACCCAUUACAUCAAUAAUUAUUGGACUAUCCUUCCUUCCUUCUUAAUCCCAUACACAUAUUGGCAACCUAGUUAAUAAAAGGCAACCUCAUCAAAAUAGGUCACUAAGUAUUUGAUUAAAUAGUUUGUAACAACCAAUUAUGAUUUCCCUCCACUAUUCAUUAUGAUAGUGACAAAAUUAGAGUUAUCUUCUACCCAUAAAAUAUAUUAUAAUAUUUUUCUUUAACCAAGGACAACCCACAU